GUCUGGAGGUACCGAGCGCUCUCGAUCUUUCUCGGUGCCUGAUGACCCGCGACCAGGCCCGAACGUAUUUUCGCCGUCCGGCCACCGAUCCCUGACGGACGACCACCAUCUGCUUCAUCUCCGCGUCGCCUACCUCCCUACAUCCUCAGAUCGUCCAUGCACUGACGAUCAACGGAGCAGCAACGACGGGAAGCCCCGAGCUUUCUCCGGCCACCUCUGCAACUUCCGGCGACCGAUUAAGCUGCAUUUGCCACGGCUCCGCCGUGUUCUUCGACACCGGAGACAUUUCGGGCACUUCUGGGCUUAGUUUCCAUCUCGAGUUCACCUGUAGACGAGGAAUUAAGAGGCUUGCUGGGUUGUUGGCAUCAAAAUCUUCAGCUCAGCAACAUUCCAGUUCCGGCAAGAGGUUCUGUAAACCUGAGCUUGAUCAGCGUAGAGUUUUGAAGGUAUAAUUUCAAACCUUGAAUUGAAAGGCUGUUCUUGUGACGAAUUCGAACAUGUGGGCUGAAGGGUUCUUGAAUUAUUUCCGUCUUGGUAUUUUGGUUACUGUUGCCGGUUGGUUUUGGUUGAAUUGUGUAGUUUUGGUGGUUUGACAAUAUGUUUGAACUGGGAGGACAGAUUGAAUGAAUUGUUGUGCUGUGGUUGAGAUUGAGAUAUCCUGGUUAUAAGUUUGAAUGCAUAGGCAGAAUGGGUUGUCGUGUAUUUAUUUGAAUGGACUUGGAUGAUCAAGUUUAUGUUUUGUUAGC